GAGCUGGCGAUAGCUCAGCUCAGGGUUGGAAACCUAAAUAAAGCUCUGAGUUUGUCUCCUGAGCCCAUUGUUCCUUAACAAGCGCAGUGUAUCGGAACCGCCUUAGGGUCCCGGGACUGUCCACAAAGGUCAAAAUUAACUCAGUUGAUUGCUUAACCCCACCAAGGGCUGCAAUUUGUGGGCCACCUUCUUUCACUUUGAUCGCGUGUGUACGGUGAACUUGAGCUUGUCAGAGCCCUUUGCCCUGGGUGCACUCCAGAAUAAGCACGGGAGACUCGAGAGGUGGGGCCCAGGGAUUCUUGAACAUGAAAAUCUCCAGUUCUGCCUGCUACACAGAGAUGAUCCAGAUGAGAGAACUGGGGAAACUCAGGGUGGCUGGCAAAGCUGGCAGAGUCGGAAGCAGAGAAAUUAGAUGCUGCCCGUCACUUAUUCAAGAAAUCUUCAGUAUUCAACAAAAUUCAGUAACAUAAGAAGAAGAAGAAGAAGAAGAAGAAGAAGAAGAAGAAGAAGAAGAAGAAGAAGAAGGUGUGCAUCAUUCCAUUUUGAAGUCAGUUUUAAACAAUAUGCUUUGUCCAUAUUAACAAUUAGCUUCUUUCCUCUGAAAAUAUCCAAUUCACCUUCUCAAUUAAAAUAACUGUUGGGCACAUGGAGACAACAGUUUGAAUAUGAGAUGCCCCCACAGCCUCCUGUGUCAAAUACUUGGUCCCCAGCUGUGAUGCUGUUUUGGGAAAUGAUAGAACGUUCAGGAGCUGGACUUAGCUGAGAGAAGAUGGGCAUUAAAGCGUGGAUAUGGAAUAGCUUUGAAGGUUGUACCUGGUUUCUUGUUCCUUCUCUCUCCUCUUCCUGUCCUCCAUAAUGUGAGUGGCCUCGGCCACAGGCUUCUUCCACCAUGGUGUUCUGUUUCAUCUUGUGGACCAGAAUCAAGGAAGCCAAGGAUCAUGGACCCAAACUUCUGAAACUAUGAAAUAAAUAAGUUUCUCUUCUUUGUAA